rnacentral:lncRNA from 1 species
CCGUCCAGCUCUCGCUUGUCCAGCGCAGGCCGCGGGAGCUGCCGAGCCUUGGCGAGAAGGGCGGCCUCGGGCGUUUUGUGGACGCGCUCGGCGCUUUCUCCUUGGUUCGGCGCUUACCUCGGACGGCCACCAGCUCGGUUCCCUGAGAGACCCCGGGGAGACUGCGGACGGUGUCGGGAUCCCGGCCCCCGCCUCCCGCAAACGGCGUCCUCCCCGCUCCUCGCUCUGCGCGAAUCCUGCGGGAAGCUCCGAUCUCAGGCAACUGGAUUUUGCUUUUGUGGUUUUUUGUUUGUUUUGUUUGUUUUUUAGCUCACCAGCUUAACCUCGCAGCACUGCCCUUUUAUGAGACUGUAAGACAUCUAAUUAUGUGAUUCUUGCUUAUUUUUACUUUUUUUUUUUUGUCAUUUCUGGAAUACGGCAGUAGUGUCCUUCCUGCAUGGGGGGUGUGUACACAUGCACGCAUACAUAGAGUUCCUGUAUGCACUGCACUCCAGCAAUCGGAUUAAUAAAUUAUUCAUGAACAGAUUUGACAGGAUUAUUAACAAUUUUAUAUGCCGCUGCAAAUAAAGCCAACUGCCAUACACAUUUUGUGCUACUCACCACAUCUAUGGGUCCCGUUUUAGUUGCUCUAUAGAAUCUGCAUAAAUACGUUUUUAUUAAACAGCUACCUUAGUAAAGUACAGUUAGGAAUGGCAAGAUCUUUAUUAGAAGUGAGUUACUGUUUAGGAUGCUCAUACCUUUAAAGAUUCAAAUACUGUAUAAAGUUUAACUUCCUCUCUAUUUCUACGAAGUUGGUUUAGAGAACAAGAAUGAUUCUUUAAAAAACCCGUGAAGCAAAGUAGAUUAG